GUGCUCACUUUGGCUGCACGUAUAUUAAAAUUGAAAUGACACAGAAAAGAUUAGCAUGGCUCCCGCAGGAGGAUGACACACAAAUCCACAAAGUGUUCCAUAUUUUU
ensembl:snRNA U6 U6 spliceosomal RNA